rnacentral:siRNA from 1 species
CACUUGUGCUUUCAUAACUUUGAU